rnacentral:rRNA from 1 species
CGAGCGGCAGCACGGGCUUCGGCCUGGUGGCGAGUGGCGAACGGGUGAGUAUACAUCGGAACGUACCCAGAAGUGGGGGAUAACGUAGCGAAAGUUACGCUUAAUACCGCAUACGUUCUACGGAAGAAAGUGGGGGAUCGCAAGACCUCAUGCUUUUGGAGCGGCCGAUGUCUGAUUAGCUAGUUGGUGAGGUAAAGGCUCACCAAGGCGACGAUCAGUAGCUGGUCUGAGAGGACGCCAACACAGCACAAGAACUGAAACACGGUCCAGACUCCUACGGGAGGCAGCAGUGGGGAAUUUUGGACAAUGGGCGCAAGCCUGAUCCAGCAAUGCCGCGUGAGUGAAGAAGGCCUUCGGGUUGUAAAGCUCUUUUGUGGAGGGAAGAAACGGCAAUAACUAAUAUCCUUUGCUAAUGACGG